UAGACUUUGUCCCUCCUCCUACUUGACAG
rnacentral:piRNA from 1 species